AUGAACGCUGGCGGCGUGCCUAAUCCAUGCCAGUCGAGCGAACAGACGAGGAGCUUGCUCCUUUGACGUUAGCGGCGGACGGGUGAGUAACACGUAGGUAACCUACCUAUAAGACUGGGAUAACUUCGGGAAACCGGAGCUAAUACCGGAUAAUAUUUCGAACCGCAUGGUUCGAUAGUGAAAGAUGGCUUUGCUAUCACUUAUAGAUGGACCUGCGCCGUAUUAGCUAGUUGGUAAGGUAACGGCUUACCAAGGCAACGAUACGUAGCCGACCUGAGAGGGUGAUCGGCCACACUGGAACUGAGACACGGUCCAGACUCCUACGGGAGGCAGCAGUAGGGAAUCUUCCGCAAUGGGCGAAAGCCUGACGGAGCAACGCCGCGUGAGUGAUGAAGGUCUUCGGAUCGUAAAACUCUGUUAUUAGGGAAGAACAAACGUGUAAGUAACUGUGCACGUCUUGACGGUACCUAAUCAGAAAGCCACGGCUAACUACGUG
rnacentral:rRNA from 1 species